GACCGGCGCCUUCUCCUUGCUUCUGGGGGUCGUGGCCUUGCUCCCGCUGUGCGGGAAAAGAAUCCAGGCCCUUCCACGCGCGUGUGGGCGCGGGGGCCCCGAAGUGCUCGUGGUUCCCCGCUAGGUCUCCGCUGGGGCAGGAACCGGAAUCAUGGGUGGGACCACCAGCACCCGCCGGGUCACCUUCGAGGCGGACGAGAAUGAGAACAUCACCGUGGUGAAGGGCAUCCGGCUUUCGGAAAAUGUGAUUGAUCGAAUGAAGGAAUCCUCUCCAUCUGGUUCGAAGUCUCAGCGGUAUUCUGGUGCUUAUGGUGCCUCAGUUCCCCUAAGGACCCCUACCUGAUAACACUUUUAAGGCUGGAUCCAGCCUUUCUUUGCGGAAUCACCAUGGCGGCUGGGACCCUGUACACGUAUCCUGAAAACUGGAGGGCCUUCAAGGCUCUCAUCGCUGCUCAGUACAGCGGGGCUCAGAUCCGCGUGCUCUCCGCACCACCCCACUUCCAUUUUGGCCAAACCAACCGCACCCCUGAAUUUCUCCGCAAAUUUCCUGCCGGCAAGG
rnacentral:sRNA from 1 species